rnacentral:rRNA from 1 species
UGAGGAAUAUUGGGCAAUGCCCGCAAGGGUGACCCAGCAACGCCGCGUGGAGGAUGAAUGUCGUAAGAUUGUAAACUCCUGUUAGAGGGGAAGAAUAGUACCGGUUGGACCGGUAUAUGACUGUACCCUCAGAGAAAGCCCCGGCUAACUACGUGCCAGCAGCCGCGGUAAUACGUAGGACCCAAGCGUUGUCCGGAUUUACUGGGUGUAAAGGGUGCGCAGGCGGAUGGGUAAGUCAGGGGUGAAAGUCUGCAGCUUAACUGUAGAAUUGCCUUUGCUACUGCUCAGCUUGAGUGUGGGAGAGNUUGAUGGCAUGCCAGGUGUAGCAGUGAAAUGCGUAGAUAUCUGGAAGAACACCAGUGGCGAAGGCGGUCAACUGGCCCAUAACUGACGCUCAUGCACGAAAGCGUGGGGAGCAAACA